GAGAUCUAUAUCAUCUCCAGACAUCAAACCUGCCUCAUCCUUCCAACACUUGUAAAAUUUCUUUACAAAAAUCAUAUUACCAAUCUCUUCCUUUGCAUCUUGCUUAUAUGCCAAAGCAAUGAAUAUAGACUACCUAUUCUUCCAUAAUCCCAACAUUUCAGCUUCCACCUUGUUCCAAAUUUUAGCACAUCUUACUGAAGUACUAAGCUCAUAAUCACCAAUUCAUUUCAAACCAUAUAACUCAUACUCAGCAUCCAAUGUAAUAUUACACAUCAUCUCACAAAACAAUAUCUUUGUAGAAACACAUAAUGGGUACCCAGCAGAUAUGCCAAUACAGAAAUCACAUUUAUGGGCACACAACUACACACUCUGUGUCCUUCCUAGGAAACACGGAUAGACACAAUAUAAAAGCAAUCUUAAACUAACACCUCCAAAUCUCCAACUAUUCUUGGCCAAAACGCUAGUAUUCAACAACUAAUAAAACAGUUAUUUGCUAGGUUAUUUCUCUGUCAUUCUUAUCAGUAUCACUAGACUGUGACAAACUGAUUCACAUAUAAUUUAAAACAAUACAGCAACAUAUACAUUAAACCACUUUCAAGUUAAACUGCACACUUAUCACACAUUAUCACAAUCACCAUUUACACAGAAUAAACAGUUAACAGCUGUAUUCAGAACAUAUUAUUGGAAAGUAUACCAAUUUUAGUUUAGAUUUAUUUUAGGGAUUCUUAUGUAUACAUUUUCUUAAUUAACUUCAUUACUUUAAUCUACUAUAGUAUUAUAUUUAAAGAAAGGAUCCAUUUAUAUAGCGCGCUCAUAACUCAACUAUUUGUAUAAAACUACCAUUAACUAAUCUGAGAUGAUGCUGCAUCAAUUU
rnacentral:lncRNA from 1 species